UACGAACGCUGGCGGCGUGCCUAAUACAUGCAAGUCGAACGCUGAAGGAGGAUCUUGCUUCUCUGGAUGAGUUGCGAACGGGUGAGUAACGCGUAGGUAACCUGCCUGGUAGCGGGGGAUAACUAUUGGAAACGAUAGCUAAUACCGCAUAAUAUUGACUAUUGCAUGAUAGUCAGUUGAAAGGUGCAACUGCACCACUACCAGAUGGACCUGCGUUGUAUUAGCUAGUUGGUGGGGUAACGGCUCACCAAGGCGACGAUACAUAGCCGACCUGAGAGGGUGAUCGGCCACACUGGGACUGAGACACGGCCCAGACCCCUACGGGAGGCAGCAGUAGGGAAUCUUCGGCAAUGGACGCAAGUCUGACCGAGCAACGCCGCGCGAGUGAAGAAGGCUGUCGGAUCGUAAAGCUCUGUUGUACGAUAAGAACGAGUGUGAGAGUGGAAAGCUCUCACUGUGACGGUAUCUGACCAGAAAGGUACGGCUAACUACGUG
rnacentral:rRNA from 1 species